rnacentral:tRNA from 1 species
GGUUCUAUGGUCUAGUGGUUAUGACUCCGGAUUUUGAUCUUCUGACCAAGCUUUCCGGCAUCCUGGGUUCGAAUCCCAGUAGGACCU